GACGAACGCUGGCGGCGUGCCUAACACAUGCAAGUCGAACGAGAUCCAUGGGAGCUUGCUCCCGGAAGAUCUAGUGGCGAACGGGUGAGUAACACGUGAGAAACCUGCCCUGGAGUGGGGAAUAACUCGGGGAAACUCGAGCUAAUACCGCAUACCCUCGGAUGGUCGCAUGGCCGACCGAGGAAAAGAUUUAUCGCUCUAGGAGGGUCUCGCGGCCUAUCAGCUAGUUGGUGGGGUAACGGCCUACCAAGGCAACGACGGGUAGCUGGUUUGAGAGAACGAUCAGCCACACUGGGACUGAGACACGGCCCAGACUCCUACGGGAGGCAGCAGUGGGGAAUCUUGCGCAAUGGGCGAAAGCCUGACGCAGCAACGCCGCGUGCGGGAUGACGGCCU
rnacentral:rRNA from 1 species